rfam:Stegodyphus mimosarum contig60359, whole genome shotgun sequence.
GUCUUCGUGGUGUAGUGGUUACCACGCUCAACGCGUAAUGGAGAGGUCCGUGGUUCAAUUCCCGGCGAAGGUG